AACAAUAACUAAAGCAUAGAAGGAAGGCUAAAAUAAGAAUUCAGAAACUAUAAACCGGCUCUCUUCUAGCUUACGACACAAACUAUGAGUGAGAAAAGGACAAAUGAUUCGCUCUUUGCUUCAUUUUUUCCGAGGUUGUCACAACAUGAAAUGUCAUUUGGACCUAUUGGACUCAUUUUAAUUCGGCCAAAUACAUAGUAACAUACAUAAGAAGAUUUUACUUAUAUUUACCGAACUAUUUGACACGGUCGCGUGAACUUUGUUUACGAGUGUCUUGUGUUCAGAUUGUUUUAAGUGAUAAUUUAACAAUAUUUUUCCAAAUAAAUGGAAAGAAACUUUUAUUUAUAUCAAAUAAUUGAGUGUCUCGACUCUGUGACAUUAUGUCUUGUGUGGUAUGGGGCUGCAGCUCACAUUCAGGAAGAAAAGAAAAUAGCCAACAACUUCUGUCGUUUCAUCGAUAUUAAAUCCAAAAGUGUCGACUGGAUUUACAUGAAAAGUCAGUUCAAGAAGACGAGAUGAAAAAUUUAAAAGAAAAGCUGAACAAGUCACGCCUCAAGAUCAAACGACUUAAUGAAAAAAAAAAAUCAAUGUGACAGGGUGUCACAAAGACAGUUUCUAAACAAAUUGACACUGUUUAGAAAUUAAUAAAUUUGUAUUUAUUGUAAAUAUAAUGUACAUAAUUAAUAACGUGUAUAAUAAAUA